rnacentral:sRNA from 1 species
UUACAUCUAGAUUCAUACCCCUAAACUCCCUAGAUGUUUUUGGGUGGUACUCUUUGCGGUGCUGCUCUUUUUUU